CUUGGUCAUUUAGAGGAAGUAAAAGUCGUAACAAGGUCUCCGUUGGUGAACCAGCGGAGGGAUCAUUACCGAGUUUACAACUCCCAAACCCCUGUGAACAUACCUAUACGUUGCCUCGGCGGAUCAGCCCGCGCCCCGUAAAACGGGACGGCCCGCCCGAGGACCCCUAAACUCUGUUUUUAGUGGAACUUCUGAGUAAAACAAACAAAUAAAUCAAAACUUUCAACAACGGAUCUCUUGGUUCUGGCAUCGAUGAAGAACGCAGCGAAAUGCGAUAAGUAGUGUGAAUUGCAGAAUUCAGUGAAUCAUCAAAUCUUUGAACGCACAUUGCGCCCCUUGGUAUUCCAUGGGGCAUGCCUGUUCGAGCGUCAUUUGUACCUUCAAGCUCUGCUUGGUGUUGGGUGUUUGUCUCGCCUCUGCGAGUAGACCUGCCUCAAAACAAUUGGCAGCCGGCGUAUUGAUUUCGGAGCGCAGUACAUCUCGCGCUUUGCACUCAUAACGACGACGAUCCAAAAGUACAUUUUUACACUCUUGACCUCGGAUCAGGUAGGGAUACCCGCUGAACUUAAGCAUAUCAAUAAGCGGAGGA
rnacentral:rRNA from 1 species